GCACUCUGAUCCAGCCAUGCCGCGUGUAGGAAGACUGCCCUAUGGGUUGUAAACUACUUUUAUAUGGGAAGAAUAAGAUCUACGUGUAGAUCGAUGACGGUACCAUAAGAAUAAGCACCGGCUAACUCCGUGCCAGCAGCCGCGGUAAUACGGAGGGUGCAAGCGUUAUCCGGAAUCAUUGGGUUUAAAGGGUCCGUAGGCGGGCAUAUAAGUCAGUGGUGAAAGUCUGUGGCUCAACCAUAGAAUUGCCAUUGAUACUGUAUGUCUUGAAUUAUUGUGAAGUGGUUAGAAUAUGUAGUGUAGCGGUGAAAUGCUUAGAGAUUACAUAGAAUACCGAUUGCGAAGGCAGAUCACUAACAAUAUAUUGACGCUGAUGGACGAAAGCGUAGGUAGCGAACAGGAUUAGAUACCCUGGUAGUCUACGCCGUAAACGAUGGAUACUAGUUGUUUGGUUUUCGGACUGAGUGACUAAGCGAAAGUGAUAAGUAUCCCACCUGGGGAGUACGUUCGCAAGAAUGAAACUCA
rnacentral:rRNA from 1 species